GGUAACUGUGCUGAUUUUUGAGGCAGAAGACUCUGUUGCAAUUUUGGCCCUGUCCUCUCCAGACCUGCCAUCCCAGGGAUCGGUUGCCCUUCUUUGACCUCACCUUUGAGGUCAUAAAAUAGGUAUAUCAGUACCUGACUUUCUACUCUCACAAAGGUUUUAAGAGGACUCCACCUCAAAAUAAAAAAGAAUGUUCUUUUGUAAAUUGGGAAGUACAUGCUAAUUAUUAUUCAUGCUAUCGUAAGGAAUAAGGGAUAUUAUUUCUUGGACGAGUGGUUCCCAAGUGUUAGUGCAUUAGCAGUCCCCACUGGGCUUGUUGAGACUGGCCUCCACCCCCAGAGUUUCUGAUGCUGUAGGUCUGGGGUGGGGCUGAGAAUGUGCAUUUCUGACAAGUUUCCGGGUGCUGCUGGUGCUGCUCACUGGGAUCUCGCUCUGAGAACUAUGGACUUAGAUGUCCACGUGGUACUGAGGAAAGCUCAAGGGAGUCAUGCCAAUUCAAUACAAUGUAUACACCAUAUUGAUACGCGGGCCCAGUGAAAAGAGCACAGGAAGGAUGUCAGAAAAUGACUUUCUGGCCUGUCUCUGACCCCAGUUAGCUCUGUGACCCUGGGAGAGCUUCAGAGGCCUCUUGGCCUCAGUUUCCCUCCCUGAGAUGGGAGGGAUGGACAUUUUUAAGAAAAGCCCUUUCAGCUCUAACACACCUUUAGUCAAGAAAUUGCCCAGCUCCCCUUGAAUUCUCUGGUUGCCGUCCUGGUGCAGAGACUUAUUUUUCUCAGAGCUGUUUCCCAUUGACUAUUUUUUCUCCUUUUUGGAUGGAGCAGUCAGGGAAGAGGAGGAAGCUUUUGGACUUUCUUUGUAAGAAAAUUCAAUUUCCAUUCCUCUUUUUCGCCGUUCGUUUUCCCAGCUCCAUCGCCGAGCCUGUGAGGCCAGGAGUGAUGCUUAUUCACGUCUGUAUUCACCCACCCUCCACUCCCAGCGCUGGGCAUUCAGCACGUGCCUGUUAAGGUAAACCAGAAAAAGGAAGAAGUGGCUUGUUCCUUAGUGCAGGCUGCACCCCUGGGAAAUGACCUGCAGGGUGUUUAUUAGGAGUGCUUAGGGAUCACUCUGGUGGGAGGGAAGGGAAAGAGGGAGGAGCCGGGCUGCCGUGCAGCCUCAACAGAGUUGUCAGCUGACUCCCCGGUGAGCUCUGAAGUUGGGAAGGCCCUGCAGAGUUAUACAGAGACAAAAGACGAGGCAACAGGAUGAGGGCUGUCCUGGGAGGGGGCACAAGUUUGGGCAAAGCGGCUCUUUUCAGCCAGGGUAAUUCCCAAAGAAGGCCGACAGCUGAGGCUGUGUUGGCAGCACUCCCGGUGCCAGGGGGAAUGAGCCCUUGAGCUCUGAAGGGGAGCCUAUGGCGCAGCACAGUGAGGACUCAGCUGGUCCUCUUGGCCCUGGCGCCCUCCUUCUGGUCCCUGCUGCCUGCUUUCUGCAUUUUGGACUCAACUCAGACAUUGGGGUGGUCCCUGGUGUGGCAGAUCACACCAGCCGACUGCCUCAAAACCCAUCUCUCCUUCUUCCUUACAAACCAUGACUAUGUUCAGGCAGCUAGAGGUGGCCAGGCAGCAUAGCCCUGGCCAGCUAGACUGAGUGGAAAUCUACUGGGGAUCCCUGUGAAAUUAUUCUUUUCUCAUAUUAUUGCUGCCCCUUCCUCCUUCUCUCAGUUUAUUUCUUCUUUUUUCUUCCUGCUUAGAAUGCAAAUAUGAAGCUGGCAGUGGUCUAGCCAUCUGGAGCUCAUGUGGCAACCAAGGGGAAGAAAGCUUUACUCCAGGGAUGCGGAAAGAGAGCUGGACGCAGCAGCUGGGUAUUUAUGUGAGUAAGACAAGACCAUAAUUAGUCAAGCCACUCCUGUGGCUGGGUUUCUGUUGUUUGCAGGUGAGGGGACUCAGCUGGAAUACACUGGAAUGGUCACCCCUGUUGUUAUGGCUGGUGUCUGUGCUGGCUGCUCAGUGCAUUGUUCUGGCACAACUGGUUAUCUAGAAACACACGGGCUGGAGCUGUGAGUCAUAGGUUACGGGUUUUGGACUUGGGGAGCUGAUGAAGAGUCUUAGAAAAUAGGGAAGGAGUUCUAAAGGGUGGGUGUGGAGGAGGCUAGGCAGCAAGAAACAAGCGUGGGACGAGGGAAAGAUGAAGUCAAAUCACUGUCGUUCAAUAGUGGUCAUUUCCUACCAACCUCCAGUGUCACCACACAUUGAGGUCUUUCAUGGACCCCACACAGGACUAGGGAGGUGGCAUGGGAGAGCUUAGGCCUCAAAGAUCGGCAGAACUAAGUCUGAAUCUUGGAUCCCUCACUGAUAAGCUAUGUGAUCUUGGGCAAGUCACUUAGCUUGUCUGAGUUUUGUCUGGAAAAGAGGUAAUAAGACUUACAAAUAGAGAUGCGCCAAGAAAAACAUUUCAAAUAAAUUGAUGAGAAAAUGGAGGAAAACA
rnacentral:lncRNA from 1 species